rnacentral:rRNA from 1 species
CACGUAGGGUGCAAGCGUUAAUCGGAAUUACUGGGCGUAAAGCGUGCGCAGGCGGUCGUGUAAGACAGAUGUGAAAUCCCCGGGCUCAACCUGGGAACUGCAUUUGUGACUGCACGGCUGGAGUGCGGCAGAGGGGGAUGGAAUUCCGCGUGUAGCAGUGAAAUGCGUAGAUAUGCGGAGGAACACCGAUGGCGAAGGCAAUCCCCUGGGCCUGCACUGACGCUCAUGCACGAAAGCGUGGGGAGCAAACAGG